GGGGAUAUGGCGGAAUCGGUAGACGCUACGGACUUCAAAUCCGUUGGUUUUAUAGAUCGUGAGGGUUCGAGUCCCUCUAUCCCCA
rnacentral:tRNA from 1 species